rnacentral:sRNA from 1 species
UUAAGCAAGUUGACAGGUGUGGAAUCAA